rnacentral:lncRNA from 1 species
AUUUGUGGUACACCAAACCCAUGUAACACUAACCCUGUUAACACCAGAUGAAAAUGUACAGAAAAUUAUGCUGUAACAAAUAGGUUGCAACAAAAAGAACUAAGAGAGAAAGAAUAGCAGCCUGAUUCCUCUAAUCAAGUUGAAGAUCAGCAGCAUAACAAAGAGCGGCCCCAUCAAGCUAUCCCAGCAUCUCUAGAAUGGCAUAAACUUUGCACUGUUGAAAGAAGUAGUAUUGAUAGCAACAACUUCUAAGGGUGAUCUUCUCAAUUGAACAUCAAUAAAAAUCGGCAAAAAAGAAAGGAACCAAACUGAAUGUUACUGUUUUUUAACACACAACAUUGCAUCAAAACAACAUAUUUUCAAUUUAACAUGUAUGAAAAUAAAAGUCAGAACCAAAUCAUUUACUGUUUAUACAAAUGAUUUGUUAGAGAAAUUCAAGGUUGUUUUUUUAUUUAUAUCAAACUGUUUCUUCCUAUGUGUGUUAUUGAAUGAAUUAUGAAGGAGUUGCCUCAACAUGUUAAAUUUUGAGAAAAUGCAAGUCAUGUUGACUAUCCUUGAACUUCUUUUAGCAAGUCUUUUUUAAGCACAUCGUUCCUGUUCUUGUUUUGAACAAAGUAGGUAUAAAAAAAAAUUAAGAGAGAACCUCAAAACAAAAUCUGGCUAAACCACAACAACUUCAAACACAAAUCUAAAAACAUGAGUAAGUGCCUAAAGCUCAGACCGAAUCCUAGCAAUGCAUCAAACUUCCUAACCUUUGCACUAGAAACGUACCAAAAUUCAAUAUGUGGACUAAUGCUUCCGCAAUUUCCUAGUCCACUGCAUUGUCUAUUUCUCGAAUGCAGCUACGAAGCUUAAUCCACCGCAUCAUGGGUAAUGAGAUACCUGAAAACAAGUAUAAAAUUUCAUUUCAAUUCAACAUGGCCUCAUCCAACUAGUAAGACAUCAUAUUAGCACAUAUGGAUAGAGCACCAAGCAUAUCAUGCACUACUACUACCUAUAUUGUUAAUCUCAAAUAGCACCGAGUGAAACUGACAAAGGCGCUUCGAGGGCCUUGGGUGGGACAGUGGGGGAUGUGUGACUAUGCCACACCGCCAUAGCACGCUACUAACAUCAUAGAGAACAUUUAGAGUAUGUUCAAUGACCAAACAAUUACUAAUAAUCACAAUCUAUUUUAUUAAAUAUUUCAUCAAUCACCUGAUAUAAAAAUAAAUAAACAACCCAUCAUAAAAUUUCAUAAACAACGAAGACGCCCUUCUUGACAGAUUCAUCACAAACAAGUAAUUGAGGAGAAAACUGAGAAAAUGAAUACCUUUUCUGUCAUUCUUCCGGAUGCCUUCUUCAAAGUAACAUUCGCGAAUGUCGAUCCAAAUUUGUUUCUUCCAAGACUUCACGCAAACCAUCUUGUGUCCAUCUUUUGAGGAACCAAGAUCACAGACAACGAUUUCGUCGUCGGGAUCAGAUUUCGUCCAUCUUUUGAGUGCAUAUUCAGAAUCCGAUCCCGACGACGAAAUCGUUGUCUUUGAUCUUGGUUCCUCAAAAGAUGGACACAAGAUAGUUUGCGUGAAAUCUUGGAAGAAACAAAUUCGGAUCGACAUUCUCGAGAAUGUCGCUUUGAAGAUGGCAUUCGUAAGAAUGGUAGAAAAGGUAUUUCAAUUCAUUUUCUCAGUUUUCUCCUCAAUUACUUGUUUGUGAUGAAUCUGUCAAGUAGGGCGUCUUCAUUGUUUAUGAAAUUUUAUGAUGGGUUGUUUAUUUAUUUUUAUAUCAGGUGAUUGAUGAAAUAUUUAAUAGAAUAGAUUGUGAUUAUUAGUAACUGUUUGCUCAUUGAACAUACUUUAAAUGUUGUCUAUUGUUAGUAGCGUGCUAUGGCGGUGUGGCAUAGUCACACAUCCCCCACUGUCCCACCCAAGGCCCUCGAAGCGCCUUUGUCAGUUUCACUCGGUGCUAUUUGAGAUUAACAAUAUAGGUAGUAGUAGUGCAUGAUAUGCUUGGUGCUCGAUCCAUAUGUACUAUAUGUGCUAAUAUGAUGUCUUACUAGUUGGAUAAGGCCAUCUUGAAUUGAAAUGAAGAAUUUGCAAUGAAAUUUUAUACUUGUUUUCAGGUAUCUCAUUACCCAUGAUGCAGUGGAUUCGAGAAAUAGACAAUGCAGUGGACAAAGAACUUAGGAAAUUGCGGAAGCAUUAGUCCACAUAUUGAAUUUUGGUACGUUUCUAGUGCGAAGGUUAGGAAGUUUGAUGCAUUGCUAGGAUUCGGUCUGAGCUUUAGGCACCCCCUCAUGUUUUUAUAUUUGUGUUUGAAGUUGUUGUGGUUUAGCCAGAUUUUGUUUUGAGGUUCUCUCCUAAUUUUUUAUACUUACUUUGUUCAAAACAAGAACAGGAAGGAUGUGCUUAAAAAAGACUUGCUAAAAGAAGUUCAAGGAUAGUCAACAUGACUUGCAUUUUCUCAAAAUUUUCAACAUGUUGAGGCAACUCCUUCAUAAUUCAUUCAAUAACACACAUAGGAAGAAACAGUUUGAUAUAAAUAAAAAAACAACCUUGAAUUUCUCUAACAAAUCAUUUGUAUAAACAGUAAAGUGCAAAGUUGUGUGUUAAAAUAGAAAAGGAUUAUAGCAGAGGAAGGGACAAAUCAACAAAGUAAAGUGUCAAACCAGUCCAGAAUUCUUAUAUGCUUCAUACUCACUCCUGAUACAGAUCAACAAAAACUUGACACUUGCAAGAAACCAUAAGAGGACACCGCUAGAAAAUUACCAUUUUUAUCCCAAGGCUGAAUGGAACCUCGCUUCCUGCCACAUUUAUAGGUUUCUCCUCCGUAUCACACACAUAAAACUCAAAUACAGGAGUCCUUGGGCCACUGUAAUGAAGAUGACAUCUUCAUAAAUUACAAAUAUCAAUGAAAACUACGUUGAUCAUAGAAACAAGAUAAGUAGUACAAACAAAAGGACAGAGACACUCAUCUCCGCCAAUUUCUCCCUAAGUUCAGAUCGCCAAAUUAAUCCUAGCAACAGUUGAAAACAUAAAUCAUGUUGUUAAUUAGUUGACAGAAGAUAAGUAGUACAAAUGGAGGCACUCCACCAAUUUCUCGCUAAAUUCAGAUUGCCAAAUCAAUCCUAGCAAUAGACUAAAACGUAUAUCAAAUCAUGUAUUAAUUAGUUGACAGAAGUUAAGUAGUACAAAAGAUAGAGGCACUCAUCUCCACCAAUUUCUCCCCAAGUCCAGAUUGCCAAAUCAAUCCUAGCAACAGUUGAAAUUUUAUGUCAAGUCACGUAUUCUUGUUAAUUACGUAUAUCAAAUCAUUUAUCCUUGUUAAUUAGUUGACAGAAGAUAAAUAGUACAAAGGAAAGAGGCACUAAUCACCAAUUUCUCCCUAUGUUCAGAUUGGCAACUCAAUCCUAUCAACAGUCGAAAGUCUAUAUCAAAUCAAAUAUCCUUUUUAUAAGUAAGUAGCACAAACCAAUUUCUCCAUUUCAGAAGGAAAACUUAAAAGUGAAAUGUGAUUGGAGACUUCUGUUGCACUUCAAACCUAUGUAACACUUAACCAUGACAAACAGACGGAAGAUAGUUUAAAUCUCCAAACCAAGCCGUUGUUAGACAUAUCAGAACUCCAGCUAUGUUUCCAAGUUCCACAAAACAUAACUGUUACCUAUUACUCAAACCUUAAACACAAAACAACAUCUGUUGACGAUUAAUAAUACUUGCUGUAACAUAGAAAUUAGAGAACAAUCAAUUAUAACCCAAACAAACUAAACAAUCAGAUCAUUACAUAAGAACUGCAAACAUCAGUCUACCAAAGAAUCAACCAUAAAAGAAUAACAUGAGGAUCAAACAAGAGAAUGAUAGAUAGAAUCGUAAGAAAUCAUACAUAGAUUAUUGCUCCUGCAACACCAAAGAGUAACUAAUCAAGAAAUAUUCACUCUCAGAGUAGUUAAAGAAAUAUUGAAAACAAAUAGAUUAUGAUAGAUAUCACCAAAUAAAUACACUAGGCUCUAUGCUGCGAAGGAAGUCAUCGGUUUGACAAACCGUGCUGCAGACAAAAAUGUUCAAAAUUCAAUGUUUAUAAAUACACUAGGCUCUAUGCCUUGCUAUCAAAUCCCANGAAGUCAUCGGUUUGACAAACCGUGCUGCAGACAAAAAUGUUCAAAAUUCAAUGUUUAUAAAUACACUAGGCUCUAUGCCUUGCUAUCAAAUCCCAAAAAAAUUUAAAUAAUAAAGGACUCAUUAAAGAAAAAUCGUGUUCCCCCGUUCUUGUCCAUUACAUCAAGUCUCCUAGAUUUCAAGACUUCCCUGCUAACAGUACAACGGAUAAACGAAUCUUCGAUUAUCAAAGGAAGACUUAUAUCGAAAAAUAACAUAAAUAGAAAGAAAGAAAAGAAAAACAUGACAGAGUGUGAAAUAUAUGCUCUCAGUAGCAUUGAAGGGAUGAAUUUACUAGAUAGAGAUCACCAGAAAAAUACUCAAGGCUCCAUACUCAGAAGGACUUAGACACACCAAGCUGCAGAAAAAGCAUGUUCACAGUUCAACUCUUCUCAUAAUCAAUAGCUUGAUAUUAAAAACAAAUAAAGAAUGAAUCACUGAAGAAAUUUGAUUUAUCUAUUUGAAGCCACUCUGUUCAUAUCCGUUGUGUCAAGAAUCGUAAAAUGUUUCUAGUUUUCAAGAAUUCUGCCACCUGCUGCAAAAUGGUUAAACAUAUAUCUCGAUUAUCUAAUUUAACGAAAGUAAGAAAACCUAAAUGAGAUUACAUCAAAGCAGAGUCUCAAUUUCUCCAAAAUUGUGUAAACUAUCACACUGUCAGAUUACAUCAAAAACCAAAAUUUAAGGAAUCAGCAGUAUGAUGGUGUUAGAAAACCUAAAGUUGAACUUCUGAGAUAUAACCAAGAGGAAGAUCAAUAGAACCAGAGUAUGUUCAACGAUCACUUCUCCUGCAACAUGGAAGAGUAAAUAACAAAAAAAAAAAACAAAAAAAAAAAAGGAAAUAGGGUGUCAAUAAUUUUUUUUUAUAAAAUGUGAAGAAUUUAAUAGAGAUCACCGAAUAAAAAUGCUAGGCUCCAUGCCAUGAAGACAACUAUGCUGCAGGAAAAUAUGUUCAAAAUUCAAUUCGUACGUCUUGCAAUUGAAUGCCAGAAAUUAAAAUAAUAAAGAAUGGCUCAAUAAAGAAAUUUGAUAUUUAUCUAUCUGGAGCUGUUGUUCUUUUCAGGUGUAUAAAAACUUUCUAGAUAAUGCAGACUUUACAGCUCACUGCAAGAUGGAUAAAUGCAUCGCCAGAUUAUCAAAUGAAGAAUUAUAUCCCAAAAAAUACAGAGACAUGUUUUGAUAACGAAUUUGUAAACAAAGAGUCAAGAGAAGAGUUAAAAUUCAUGACAUCUAUGCUCACGUUUAGCAGGAGAACCCUGAAAUCGAGCAAUCAUGGAGCAAACAGGUUAAGAAAACCAGAAACGAAAGAAAGUUUGAACAAGAAUAAACAAACUUCAGAAUCAAGAAAUCGGAAUCAUAUCCUCUCAUGUAACACCAAAAAGUAAAUUAACANCGGAAAAGAUUCUUAUUCUCAUAUAUCACAGAUAACAAAAAGAAUGGCAGAUUUCGAGAACAAAUAAACUCCAAACCAGGCGAUUCAGAAUAAAUAGUAUGUUAACCUUUGGCUUCCACAGACCACAGCAGACCAAAUAUUCAUAGUCUGUUCAAAAGAACAGAGGGAAGUUGAAGAGUCUCAAACAAAGACAGUUAUCUUCAAUUUCUCCACUUUCCAGACACUAUUGAAAAGGUGCAGUGUGAUUGAGAAAGAAUUAACAUUUGUGGUACACCAAACCCAUGUAACACUAACCCUGUUAACACCAGAUGAAAAUGUACAGAAAAUUAUGCUGUAACAAAUAGGUUGCAACAAAAAGAACUAAGAGAGAAAGAAUAGCAGCCUGAUUCCUCUAAUCAAGUUGAAGAUCAGCAGCAUAACAAAGAGCGGCCCCAUCAAGCUAUCCCAGCAUCUCUAGAAUGGCAUAAACUUUGCACUGUUGAAAGAAGUAGUAUUGAUAGCAACAACUUCUAAGGGUGAUCUUCUCAAUUGAACAUCAAUAAAAAUCGGCAAAAAAGAAAGGAACCAAACUGAAUGUUACUGUUUUUUAACACACAACAUUGCAUCAAAACAACAUAUUUUCAAUUUAACAUGUAUGAAAAUAAAAGUCAGAACCAAAUCAUUUACUGUUUAUACAAAUGAUUUGUUAGAGAAAUUCAAGGUUGUUUUUUUAUUUAUAUCAAACUGUUUCUUCCUAUGUGUGUUAUUGAAUGAAUUAUGAAGGAGUUGCCUCAACAUGUUAAAUUUUGAGAAAAUGCAAGUCAUGUUGACUAUCCUUGAACUUCUUUUAGCAAGUCUUUUUUAAGCACAUCCUUCCUGUUCUUGUUUUGAACAAAGUAGGUAUAAAAAAAAAUUAAGAGAGAACCUCAAAACAAAAUCUGGCUAAACCACAACAACUUCAAACACAAAUCUAAAAACAUGAGUUAGUGCCUAAAGCUCAGACCGAAUCCUAGCAAUGCAUCAAACUUCCUAACCUUUGCACUAGAAACGUACCAAAAUUCAAUAUGUGGACUAAUGCUUCCGCAAUUUCCUAGUCCACUGCAUUGUCUAUUUCUCGAAUGCAGCUACGAAGCUUAAUCCACCGCAUCAUGGGUAAUGAGAUACCUGAAAACAAGUAUAAAAUUUCAUUUCAAUUCAACAUGGCCUCAUCCAACUAGUAAGACAUCAUAUUAGCACAUAUGGAUAGAGCACCAAGCAUAUCAUGCACUACUACUACCUAUAUUGUUAAUCUCAAAUAGCACCGAGUGAAACUGACAAAGGCGCUUCGAGGGCCUUGGGUGGGACAGUGGGGGAUGUGUGACUAUGCCACACCGCCAUAGCACGCUACUAACAUCAUAGAGAACAUUUAGAGUAUGUUCAAUGACCAAACAAUUACUAAUAAUCACAAUCUAUUUUAUUAAAUAUUUCAUCAAUCACCUGAUAUAAAAAUAAAUAAACAACCCAUCAUAAAAUUUCAUAAACAACGAAGACGCCCUUCUUGACAGAUUCAUCACAAACAAGUAAUUGAGGAGAAAACUGAGAAAAUGAAUACCUUUUCUGUCAUUCUUCCGGAUGCCUUCUUCAAAGUAACAUUCGCGAAUGUCGAUCCAAAUUUGUUUCUUCCAAGACUUCACGCAAACCAUCUUGUGUCCAUCUUUUGAGGAACCAAGAUCACAGACAACGAUUUCGUCGUCGGGAUCAGAUUUCGUCCAUCUUUUGAGUGCAUAUUCAGAAUCCGAUCCCGACGACGAAAUCGUUGUCUUUGAUCUUGGUUCCUCAAAAGAUGGACACAAGAUAGUUUGCGUGAAAUCUUGGAAGAAACAAAUUCGGAUCGACAUUCUCGAGAAUGUCGCUUUGAAGAUGGCAUUCGUAAGAAUGGUAGAAAAGGUAUUUCAAUUCAUUUUCUCAGUUUUCUCCUCAAUUACUUGUUUGUGAUGAAUCUGUCAAGUAGGGCGUCUUCAUUGUUUAUGAAAUUUUAUGAUGGGUUGUUUAUUUAUUUUUAUAUCAGGUGAUUGAUGAAAUAUUUAAUAGAAUAGAUUGUGAUUAUUAGUAACUGUUUGCUCAUUGAACAUACUUUAAAUGUUGUCUAUUGUUAGUAGCGUGCUAUGGCGGUGUGGCAUAGUCACACAUCCCCCACUGUCCCACCCAAGGCCCUCGAAGCGCCUUUGUCAGUUUCACUCGGUGCUAUUUGAGAUUAACAAUAUAGGUAGUAGUAGUGCAUGAUAUGCUUGGUGCUCGAUCCAUAUGUACUAUAUGUGCUAAUAUGAUGUCUUACUAGUUGGAUAAGGCCAUCUUGAAUUGAAAUGAAGAAUUUGCAAUGAAAUUUUAUACUUGUUUUCAGGUAUCUCAUUACCCAUGAUGCAGUGGAUUCGAGAAAUAGACAAUGCAGUGGACAAAGAACUUAGGAAAUUGCGGAAGCAUUAGUCCACAUAUUGAAUUUUGGUACGUUUCUAGUGCGAAGGUUAGGAAGUUUGAUGCAUUGCUAGGAUUCGGUCUGAGCUUUAGGCACCCCCUCAUGUUUUUAUAUUUGUGUUUGAAGUUGUUGUGGUUUAGCCAGAUUUUGUUUUGAGGUUCUCUCCUAAUUUUUUAUACUUACUUUGUUCAAAACAAGAACAGGAAGGAUGUGCUUAAAAAAGACUUGCUAAAAGAAGUUCAAGGAUAGUCAACAUGACUUGCAUUUUCUCAAAAUUUUCAACAUGUUGAGGCAACUCCUUCAUAAUUCAUUCAAUAACACACAUAGGAAGAAACAGUUUGAUAUAAAUAAAAAAACAACCUUGAAUUUCUCUAACAAAUCAUUUGUAUAAACAGUAAAGUGCAAAGUUGUGUGUUAAAAUAGAAAAGGAUUAUAGCAGAGGAAGGGACAAAUCAACAAAUUAAAGUGCCAAACCAGUCCAGAAUUCAACAAAUUAAAGUGCCAAACCAGUCCAGAAUUCUUAUAUGCUUCAUACUCACUCCUGAUACAGAUCAACAAAAACUUGACACUUGCAAGAAACCAUCAGAGGACACCGCUAGAAAUUACCAUUUUUAUCCCAAGGCUGAAUGGAACCUCGCUUCUUGCCACAUUUAUAGGUUUCUCCUUCGUAUCACACACAUAAAACUCAAAUACAGAGGAGUCCUUGGGCCACUGUAAUGAAGAGGACAUCUUCAUAAAUUACAAAUAUCAAUGAAAACUACGUUGAUCAUAGAAACAAGAUAAGUAGUACAAACAAAAGGACAGAGACACUCAUCUCCGCCAAUUUCUCCCUAAGUUUAGAUCGCCAAAUAAAUCCUAGCAACAGUUGAAAACAUAAAUCAUGUUGUUAAUUAGUUGACAGAAGAUAAGUAGUACAAAUGGAGGCACUCAACUCCACCAAUUUCUCGCUAAAUUCAGAUUGCCAAAUCAAUCCUAGCAAUAGACGAAAACGUAUAUCAAAUCAUGUAUUAAUUAGUUGACAGAAGUUAAGUAGUACAAAAGAU